ensembl:lincRNA
UCCCCCGGGUGGUGGUGACGAGGCCGGGCACGCAGGCGGAGGGGAGUGGCCUCUGCCCCCCACGGGAACUCGAGGAAGGGGCGAGCAGGGGGCCCGGCUCUGCGGAGGGAAGAGGACUUGAGACCAGGGGCCCGGCCUCUGCUCAGGUUUGGCUCACAGCCUGCGACUGGCGCUGCCCGAAGGGACUGCCCUUCGGAUGCUUUGAAAACUUAAGAAGCCAAAGCAAUUUUUUAAAUGUCCCGCUCAAGACUUUAAAAACUGGAGGCGGAGAGUCUGAGGGGUCCAUAACCUGACACUUUGGUGAGAGACGUUCUGGGAGGAGCCCCCUGUGAGACUGUCAGAAAGUCCACACGGAAAAGCCCUCGCUGUGGAUGCUGAAGGUUACUUUAGUUCUACCUUUCUUUCUGCCUAAUCUUCAGGUGGACUCGGGCAGUUUUUGCCCCAGGCACAAAGUAGAUAAAAGUACAAAAACUUCCUGUUUGCUGCCCAGACCUUCUCCAGCUAUUAAGAACUUGUUCCAGUGAUGGAGCCUCAAAGGAAUUUGUGAAUUCCUCUCCCACAAGUGCAUAGGGGCAGAGGUGCUGGGAGAAUGAGGAAUUCACAGAGGACUUGAGCAUGACAGUCAUAAUAGAUGAACCAGUCUUAAGGGAAAAGAGAAAAGACUGAGUGAGCCAACGUACUGUUUUUCCUCCAAAUAGGAAGGUUUUGGUAAAGAAUUACACGCCACUGAAGAGUAAAUUACAUUUUUGUAACUUUCCAAAGACACAGACCUUCUCUAAACUUUUUGAGGGGUGUAUGCUGCCAGGUGCUAGACAUACAAACUUCAUUUGUACAAUCACAGUUGAAAGCCAGAUCUGUACUUGGUGUGUGAACACAGCCCAGGAGAAGACAAGAUUAAUAAAGUUCAGGUUGAGGAGAAAAGGUAUUCUAGUCCGACUGAGCAGAAAGAAUGUCUCUCAUGUCCCAAGAAAAGCAUGGUCUGUGUGUGAACAGGCGUCUCUAUUUGGCUGGAUCAAAGGGCACUUGCCGGAAGAGUUUGUGAGUGAAAAUAGAAGCAGCCGUUCCCCCAACCUUACCCUAUGUGACACUCUAGCAACAGCCAGCCAGUUAGGAUUUGGGAUUCGAUCUCUGCUACAUGUUAAAGGUUGUUUAUUUAUGACAACAUCUUCAGAGAACAUGGGCAGCAAUCUUACCUCUACAUUCUUCAAUGGUAAAAUGAAGCUUUUACUGGCAUGAACAUAUUAAUACUUCCUUUUCCCAGGGAGAUGGAUUAUCAGUGAAAAUAAAUGACAAUAUUCUCUGGCAAUAAGAAUAACAAGACAGGACAAAAGUAAUGACAUCCUCUGGCAUAAUCAUGGCAGAAAAUAACUAAGUCACCUUGAAGGAGAUAAAUCAUUACAAAACACCAUCCUUUUCUAAUAUGGAUUAACAGGGAAUGACAGGAUCCUUUCAGAGGAUGGCAGCCCACAGGCCCACAUGCUUUCCUUGGACCAAAGGCAGUGACACUACCUGCCAGCCUCAUCUACAUAGAAAACAACCAGAUUCUCUGCAGGCAGAUAUUUAUUCUAUAAAAGAUAUUAUUUGUGGGAAAAGAUAGCUUAUUUGGGAAGGUUGAGAGCAUCUUUCUUCCUGCACCUCCUGUCAUCUGUGAGAGUAGGAUGGGAUUGGGGGAAGAAUACACAGAACUGCUCGUAUAUGUCUUUGGCAAGUUAGAGAGAUUUGGCUGUUGUACACACAAUUAUUUG